AGGAUUUAAUCUUCCAUCUCACAUGUGAGCACUUCCUCACACCACCUACAGUUUCUUCCAUACCAUCAGGAUCCUUCCCUCCUCCUACAGCAGCAUCAGGUGGCGGUAGGAUAUAUAUAUGCAGAGGAACCCGCACCCUGGUGUCACGACAAUCAAGGGUUAAUCCUAUACCCAGCAACACUACACUGCAACACCCCUGUUCACCCCUCAUCCCCG